UUCUGUUCUGUAAGUUUGAUCCUUUCUAACUCUUGCUCAAUUCCCGACUCGAAGUUCUCUUCGUUUUCGUUUCUGCAAAUUCUAUUUUUGGUAAUCUUUUCUUUUGAAUUUACUCUGUUUCCAGGUAUCAAUUCUAUCUUGUCGUCGUCGUUUUCAGAUUCUGAUCAUUCUAUUCUAUUGUUAAAUCUUAGAAUUUGUUCAUUUCAUAUUCUAAUUCUGAUCAUUCUGACCAAUUUUGUUCGUUUCAUAUUCUAAUUCAAUGUCUUUAAUAAGUAGUUCGACAUACUUAGUUACUUGUCAAUUCAGAUUCUAUUCAGUUUGUUCUUUGUUAUAAUUGUAAAUCCAAUUCUAGACACUUGUCUGAGUUAAAUCAUUUUGAUAAGGAUGAGAUUACAUUCAUAUAGCAAUUGAUAAUGCUAAAUGGUAUACAUAAAUUCGUAUUUAUUUUCGAAUUCAAAUAUGUCUAAUCGAAUUCGAAUUUGUGGAUCUCGAAUCUGGAUUCGGAUACCAAAAAUGAUAUUCGAAAAUUAUCCAAACAGAAUCUGAAUUCGAUUGAUAAUCUGAAUUCAGUUGAUAAUUUCAUAUUCGGAUAUCCGAAUAAAUAUAAAUUAACUUAUGAAUAUCCGGAUUUUAGGAUGAUUAAUUAAUUAACUUUAUUAAAAGUGAUUUUAUACUUUUAUAAUUUUAUUGACAAAAUACCGAGCGUUCCCCCUUGCAGACAAAAUCCCUAGCGAAGUGAAGUUCACUCGUUCGCCCGGUGCGAACGAGCGAGGUCACCCCAGAUCAGUUGCACUCCACGCCUUACCUCCAGAUCAAAUCUCCUCCCUAACCUCUUUUUUAACUGGAUCGAAUGACCUCGGCUCCACGCCUGAUUACAACCGAGCGAACACCCAGUGACCGCGAGUGAGAUCAUUUCGCAAGCAACAGUUCUCCACUUCCGAUGAGCGACAGAUACAACUACCAGAAAAUAGGAGGAAAUCUCGCUAUUGGUUUUUGACCUACAAGCCGAGGACUAGCACGCUACAUCUAUUCCAUACAUCUUAUCUACUUUUAGUUGUUUAGUUAAUUGGUUUGUAAUUUCUUUAUUUUCUAUUUAAUCUAAAUCGC
rnacentral:lncRNA from 1 species